rnacentral:rRNA from 1 species
CAAUAGCGUAUAUUAAAGUUGUUGCGGUUAAAAAGCUCGUAGUUGGAUUUCUGCCGAGGACGACCGGUCCGCCCUCUGGGUGAGUAUCUGGCUCGGCCUGGGCAUCUUCUUGGAGAACGUAGCUGCACUUGACUGUGUGGUGCGGUAUCCAGGACUUUUACUUUGAGGAAAUUAGAGUGUUUCAAGCAGGCUUACGCCUUGAAUACAUUAGCAUGGAAUAAUAAGAUAGGACCUCGGUUCUAUUUUGUUGGUUUCUAGAGCUGAGGUAAUGAUUAAUAGGGAUAGUUGGGGGCAUUCGUAUUUAACUGUCAGAGGUGAAAUUCUUUGAUUUGUUAAAGACGGACUACUGCGAAAGCAUUUGCCAAGGAUGUUUUCAUUG